UUUUUUCAGGUCCUUUACAGCCAAACCCUUCCGCAACAUCUACCAGUUCUACUUCUACAGAUCAUUUACUGACAGUCACUUCCACAACAUCUACCAGUCCCACUACUGAAGUUUCUUCACAGCCGGUCACUUCUACAACAUCUACCAGUUCCACUAAUUCAGGUGAAUGUGUUGCUGGACUAAGAUAUGGCU